UACGUAGGAGGCGAGCGUUGUCCGGAAUUACUGGGUGUAAAGCGCGUGUAGGCGGUGAGUUAAGUCUGUUGUGAAAGCGCCCGGCUCAACCGGGCAGAGUCAAUGGAAACUAGCGCACUGGAGGUCGGUAGAGGCGAGUGGAAUUCCCGGUGUAGUGGUGAAAUGCGUAGAGAUCGGGAGGAACACCUGAGGUGAAGACGGGUUGCUGGGCCAACACUGACGCUGAUGCGCGAAGGCCAGGGGAGCAAACGGG
rnacentral:rRNA from 1 species